CUAGACGUUUGGACGGCGGGUUGUGCGUAGUAGUUUUACCUUUGCCUUUACGUCUGUAAAACUAAAUAAUUACUUCUGAUUAUCAAUUUAAUAAGUGUCUGACCGUAUUUAACUAUACGAGAUGUCGCGCUACCGGGAAUGGGACCUGUCUUGCAAAGUUUAUGUGGGCAAUUUGGGUACAAACGCAUCGAAAUACGAGAUAGAAAAGGUGUUUUCCAAAUACGGGAGCAUAAGAAACGUGUGGGUGGCUCGCAAUCCUCCGGGUUUUGCGUUCGUGGAGUUUGAAGACCCGCGGGACGCCGAAGAUGCAGUACGAGGUCUCGAUGGAACGCGCUGCUGCGGGACCAGAAUCCGUGUGGAGAUGUCCAACGGACGCACCCGACGCGACAGAAGGUCCAUUUUAUCAACCACCAACCAACACACCAACGACCUCACCACAUCUCUCCACCACGGCUCGUUAAUUACAUGCAAGGCUGCUCUCGACGGCCAGCUACGCGCCGCAGUCAGCGACCCUCCCACGGCCUUCACCUGACCUCUACCUUCCUAAUAUUCUAUGAGCCACACAGUGUAGGAACCUAAUCGCUUCUACUGCACACCAGCGGAGCUUUCCUUAGCUCUCGUAUUACCUCGGUCAACGGAAACUUGCCCCCGUUUCCAGCACCAGCGACAGCUCACCAUAUUCGGUCUCGCAGCCGCAGCCCGCGCAGGCGUUCGUACUCGCGCGGGCGCUCGCCGUCGCCGCGCCGCUCGCCCUCCGUGAGGCGUCGCUCGCCCUCCGUGCGGCGGUCGCGCUCGAGGGACAGGCGUAGCCGGUCUGAGAGCA